rnacentral:rRNA from 1 species
UACGUAGGGUGCGAGCGUUGUCCGGAAUUACUGGGCGUAAAGAGCUCGUAGGUGGUUUGUCGCGUUGUUCGUGAAAACUCACAGCUUAACUGUGGGCGUGCGGGCGAUACGGGCAGACUGGAGUACUGCAGGGGAGACUGGAAUUCCUGGUGUAGCGGUGGAAGUGCGCAGAUAUCAGGAGGAACACCGGUGGCGAAGGCGGGGUCUCUGGGCAGUAACUGACGCUGGAGGAGCGAAAGCGUGGGGAGCGAACAGG